rnacentral:lncRNA from 1 species
CUGACCUGAGGAGAUCCUGGAUCUGCUGCUGCACAGACUGGUCCUUCAGCUCCACCAGACAGUGGAAGAUGCUGAUGCUUCUGUCGACAGAGACUCUCUCUGAGUUCAUCUCUUUAAGGUUUUCAAUGACUUUGGUGAUUUCUGAUUGGUCCAUUGGACUCAGCAGAGCUCCUAAAGGUCUGUGGUUGGACUUCAGACUGAGGCCAUGAAGGAACCGCACAAACAGGUCGUACGGACUCUUCUGGGAUUUAAUAAAAGCAAGUUUGAGAAACUCGUUAGCUCUUUUUGGGAUGCUCCCUUCACCAACAUUAAGAAACUCCUUGAGCUCAUCACGGUUGUUCCUGAAACAGUGGUGAACAUAAACCGCAGCCAUGAACUCCUGCAGGCUCAGGUGGAAGAAGCUGUAGACCGGUUUGUCAAAGACACUUUCUCGUUUGAUGAUCUCAGAGACGAACAAGGCCUCGUUCAGGUCCAGACCCACCUGCUCCAGGUCUUCUUGGUAGAACAUGAGGUUUCCUUUCUGCAGUUGUUCAAAGGCCAGUCUGCUCAGCUUCAGGAGCAGCUCACAGUCGACUGUGCUCAGCUCUCGUCCAGAGAUAUUGAACUUCUGAGGAAACUCCAUCAGACUCUUCUUCUGUGUCGUUUUUGUGAGGGUCUUCACCAACAGGAAGUGAGCGUACAUCUCAGUGAGCGUCUGGGGCAGAGGUCCUCUCUGAUGGUUUUCAAACAUGCGCUCCAGGACUGUGGCUGUGAUGGAGCUGAAGAGUGGGAUCUGACACAUGUUGUAGAGGCUGCGGGCGGUUCUGAGGCGGUACAUGAACAUGUAAGAUGGUCUUGUCCCGAAGAACUGCUCCUUCUGAAUAUCAGUGAAGAACCCUCGCAGCUCUGUGACCCUGUGCACGCUCUGCGCAGGGAUCUGACCGGCCGCUGCAGGUCUGGAGGUGAUCCAUAUUCGGGCGUGAGGAAGCAGAUCUCCUCUGAUGAGGUUGACCAGCAGCGCACUGACCUCAGACCUCUGUGUGACCUCAGAGACGACCUCACAGCUGAAGUCCAGAGGCAGGCGGCUCUCAUCGAGGCCGUCACAGAUGAUCAGGACUUUACUGUGGCUCAGAG